rnacentral:rRNA from 1 species
CCAAUAGCGUAUAUUAAAGUUGUUGCAGUUAAAAAGCUCGUAGUUGAAUUUCGGGGUCAGUAGGUUGGUCGUGCCACUGGUAUGUACUGGUCUCACUGAUUCCUCCUUCCUGAUGAGCUGUAAUGCCAUUAAGUUGGUGUUGCAGGGAAUCUGGACUGUUACUUUGAAAAAAUUAGAGUGUUUAAAGCAGGCUAACGCUUGAAUACAUUAGCAUGGAAUAAUGAAAUAGGACGUUCGAUGCUAUUUUGUUGGUUUCUAGGAUUGACGUAAUGAUUAAUAGGGAUAGUUGGGGGCAUUAGUAUUCAAUUGUCAGAGGUGAAAUUCUUGGAUUUAUUGAAGACUAACUACUGCGAAAGCAUUUGCCAAGGAUGUUUUCAUUAAUCAAGAACGAAAGUUAGGGGAUCGAAGACGAUCAGAUACCGUCGUAGUCUUAACCAUAAACUAUGCCGACUAGGGAUCGGAUGAUGUUAAUUUUUUAAUGACUCAUUCGGCGCCUUACG